AGGAGCCGUGUGAGAUGAAAGUCUCAUGCACGGUUUUGAAUGAGAGAAAGAAGAUUCCUCACUUCUUUUCGACUCUGAC
rfam:Capsicum annuum cultivar Zunla-1 chromosome 8, whole genome shotgun sequence